rnacentral:rRNA from 1 species
UACGGAGGGUGCUAGCGUUGUUCGGAAUUACUGGGCGUAAAGGGCGCGUAGGCGGCCGUUUGCGUCGGAUGUGAAAGCCCGGGGCUCAACCUCGAAUGCCGGUGGAUACUGUCGGGCUAGAGUGCGGAAGAGGCGAGUGGAAUUCCUGGUGUAGCGGUGAAAUGCGCAGAUAUCAGGAGGAACACCAAUUGCGAAGGCAGCUCGCUGGGACGUUACUGACGCUGAGACGCGAAAGCGUGGGGAGCAAACAGG